UAUAGAUUUCGAAAGUAUCCUUAAUUAUUAUUGUUUUUUAAUAGAUUGGCGUUUAGUAAAUCACCGCGUUUGCAGUUAGAAAGGGUUUUGACCAAAUGAGUCUCUUCUUUUUUCUUUUUUGUCAUCACCAAAUGAGUCUCUUCUCUCAACGUGAUUUGACUAAUGAAGCACGAGUUUCUCGUGGUUUUAAUAUUUUAUUAUCCGACGUGUCAUUCUUACUGAAAGUAAAGCUA
rnacentral:lncRNA from 1 species